CAGAUCCCAAACAGAUCUUGCUUCUUCAGAGGUUGCUGGAGUAGUUGUGAAGAUCUACCAUGAACCAGAUGCAGGGCAAGUUUCAGUCUCACUAAGGGUCUGCCAUUUCUACAAGACUGCAUUUGAAGGAUGGAAGGUACUUUGAAUAUCUUGCAUACUCCAUGGAAGUAAUAUCUGCAAAGUCUUCUACUUCUAGAGAAUAGGGAUUCAUGACUUGAAGAAGAUCCCAGCUCUCAUCCAGCAUGGGCUUUAGGAGCAUUUUGGGGCAUGCCUCUUGUUCUCUGCAGCAGUGGCAGAACAGAACAAGUGUCUCCUGGACAAAGACCACAGGCAUGCUACUCCAACCCUUCCUCCUGCCUUUCUCUGCAAAGGAAAAGCUAAAGAUACCUUCACACCCACUAAGAGAGCUGCUCUGGAGUUCAGCGCCAUUCAGAAAGGUCUGGCCUUUCUAUUGCCACCACCACCUGCUAAUCAA